GACAGAGGUGCCAAGCGUUAGGCGGAAUCACUGGGCUUAAAGCGUGUGUAGGCGGAUCGUUAAGUGCCUUGUGAAAUCCCAACGGCUUAACCGUGGAACUGCUCGGCAUACUGGCGGUCUUGAGCCAGCUAGGGGCUACCGGAACAAAGUGGUGGAGCGGUGAAAUGCGUAGAUAUCAUUUGGAACGCCAAUGGUGAAAACAGGUAGCUGGGGCUGUGCUGACGCUGAGACACGAAAGCCAGGGGAGCGAAACGGG
rnacentral:rRNA from 1 species